UUGAAUGGUCUUUGACCUUCUACCCUUAAAACAUGUGGAAGCCAAUAUCGUGCUUCGGCCCCCCUUUGGGGCGGCCGCUUUUAUGCAGAAACUCGUAUGUCGUCUGAAUGAGAACAUUACAAUCA
rnacentral:misc_RNA from 1 species